GAUGAACGCUGGCGGCGUGCCUAAUACAUGCAAGUCGAGCGAACAGACGAGGAGCUUGCUCCUUUGACGUUAGCGGCGGACGGGUGAGUAACACGUGGAUAACCUACCUAUAAGACUGGGAUAACUUCGGGAAACCGGAGCUAAUACCGGAUAACAUGUUGAACCGCAUGGUUCAACAGUGAAAGACGGUCUUGCUGUCACUUAUAGAUGGAUCCGCGCCGCAUUAGCUAGUUGGUAAGGUAACGGCUUACCAAGGCAACGAUGCGUAGCCGACCUGAGAGGGUGAUCGGCCACACUGGAACUGAGACACGGUCCAGACUCCUACGGGAGACAGCAGUAGGGAAUCUUCCGCAAUGGGCGAAAGCCUGACGGAGCAACGCCGCGUGAGUGAAGAAGGUCUUCGGAUCGUAAAACUCUGUUAUUAGGGAAGAACAAAUGUGUAAGUAACUAUGCACGUCUUGACGGUACCUAAUCAGAAAGCCACGGCUAACUACGUG
rnacentral:rRNA from 1 species